CCCUUAGAUGUCCUGGGCCGCACGCGCGCUACACUGAUGCAUGCAACGAGUUUAUAACCUUGGCCUGAAAGGUCUGGGUAAUCUUUUGAACGUGCAUCGUGAUAGGGAUAGAUUAUUGCAAUUGUUAAUCUUGAACGAGGAAUUCCUAGUAAACGCGAGUCAUCAGCUCGCAUUGAUUACGUCCCUGCCCUUUGUACACACCGCCCGUCGCUCCUACCGAUUGAAUGUUCCGGUGAGCUCUUCGGACUGCGCGGUCUGCAGUUUCUGCGUUCCGUGCGGAAAGUUGCGCAAACCUUAACAUUUAGAGGAAGGAGAAGUCGUAACA
rnacentral:rRNA from 1 species